rnacentral:rRNA from 1 species
UACGUAGGGUCCGAGCGUUGUCCGGAAUUAUUGGGCGUAAAGGGCUCGUAGGCGGUCUGUCGCGUCGGGAGUGAAAACUCAGGGCUUAACCCUGAGCCUGCUUCCGAUACGGGCAGACUAGAGGUAUGCAGGGGGAGAACGGAAUUCCUGGUGUAGCGGUGGUAAAUGCGCAGAUAUCAGGAGGAACACCGGUGGCGAAGGCGGUUCUCUGGGCAUUACCUGACGCUGAGGAGCGAAAGUGUGGGGAGCGAACAGG